AGUCACCUCUGUAACUCAUUACUGAGGAGCCACAGAUGAGUCAGCAGAAACCCCAGCAGAGCACGGCCAGGUCAAUUACACAUGAAGCACCCAGACUAGCCGGACAGAUAACCUGCGGCCAGAACAGGCACGCAUGGUAGCGUCGGCGACCUGGCCUGGGUCCUGCAGUUCAGAAGCCUCCUGCCUAAUGGUGGUCAACACUAACUGCUCUGUGGGCACCAGAAAGGCCGCGGCGGGAGAAAACAACACACACAAGACAACAAGUCAGUAUACACAUACCGCACACAACUCAUCUAUGUGUAACAGCUGCAAAUGUGUUUGUGUGUGCGUGUCGCUAGAAGCGCUAACAGUGAGAUGAGACUCAUGCCUGCAUAUGAAAGAUGUUGACCUCAAAAGUUUCACACAGAGACGGACUUGUGAAAUGUAAGCUUCUAGCUUGUCCAGGAGUGCCCCCCUGUGUACAGCUUAUGUCAGUACCUCUAUUCUGCAAUUCAUUAGACCUCUCUUUAUCUCCCAAGUGGCAUCUUCAGUAGCUUGGCAGCCAUGACGACAGUCAUUAUCUUUCCAAAACAGACAUAUUGUUGACAGUUGGCUGAGCUAAAUGACUUGCAUAAACUAGACACCCCUACACUGGGACAGAUGUGCCCUUACAUUAAAAAACUAAUCACGUGGGAUGUCCAGAACAAUCUGCAAAAUACAUUAAGACAUCUUCAUUUUUGUUUAGCUUCAUUGUGACAUUAGGCUAAAAUAUGUUUUUUUCCUACAGUAGAAUGUGCUUUUUCAACCAAUGUGAGAAGUGUUUUUGUGUCUGUGAGUACUCAUUAGAAACAUGACAAAAUACUCAAAUGCUGGUCAGAGUUUGUGUCAACCACUAUUUAUGGUCUUCUUAAAUAAAAGCAAAUUCAGUUG